AGAGUUUGAUUCUGGCUCAGGAUGAACGCUAGCUACAGGCUUAACACAUGCAAGUCGAGGGGCAGCAUGAUUGAAGCUUGCUUCAAUUGAUGGCGACCGGCGCACGGGUGAGUAACACGUAUCCAACCUUCCGUACACUCAGGGAUAGCCUUUCGAAAGAAAGAUUAAUACCUGAUGGUAUCUUAAGCACACAUGUAAUUAAGAUUAAAGAUUUAUCGGUGUACGAUGGGGAUGCGUUCCAUUAGGUAGUAGGCGGGGUAACGGCCCACCUAGCCUACGAUGGAUAGGGGUUCUGAGAGGAAGGUCCCCCACAUUGGAACUGAGACACGGUCCAAACUCCUACGGGAGGCAGCAGUGAGGAAUAUUGGUCAAUGGACGAGAGUCUGAACCAGCCAAGUAGCGUGAAGGAUGAAGGUCCUACGGAUUGUAAACUUCUUUUAUAAGGGAAUAAAACCUCCCACGUGUGGGAGCUUGUAUGUACCUUAUGAAUAAGCAUCGGCUAACUCCGUGCCAGCAGCCGCGGUAAUACGGAGGAUGCGAGCGUUAUCCGGAUUUAUUGGGUUUAAAGGGAGCGCAGACGGGUCGUUAAGUCAGCUGUGAAAGUUUGGGGCUCAACCUUAAAAUUGCAGUUGAUACUGGCGUCCUUGAGUGCGGUUGAGGUGUGCGGAAUUCGUGGUGUAGCGGUGAAAUGCUUAGAUAUCACGAAGAACUCCGAUUGCGAAGGCAGCACACUAAGCCGUAACUGACGUUCAUGCUCGAAAGUGUGGGUAUCAAACAGGAUUAGAUACCCUGGUAGUCCACACGGUAAACG
rnacentral:rRNA from 1 species